GAGGGUAUAACUCAGUGGUCGAGCGCAUGCCUAGCAUACAUGAGGUCCUGGGUUCAAUCCCCAGUACUUCCA
rnacentral:tRNA from 1 species